GCCCACUGUUCCGGUCCGUAGGGUGUA
rnacentral:piRNA from 1 species